AAAAUAUUAAUUUAAAUUUUAAAAUUUUAAUUUGUGAAAUUAAAAAUAAAAAUAAAUCUUUUUUUAUAUAUUUAU
rnacentral:tRNA from 1 species